CCUACGGGUGGCUGCAGUCGAGAAUCAUUCACAAUGGGGGAAACCCUGAUGGUGCGACGCCGCGUGGGGGAAUGAAGGUCUUCGGUUUGUAAACUCUUGUCAUGUGGGAGCAAAUUAAAAAGAUAGUACCACAAGAGGAAGAGACGGCUAACUCUGUGCCAGCAGCCGCGGUAAUACAGAGGUCUCAAGCGUGGUUCGGACUCACUGGGCGUAAAGGGUGCGUAGGCUGUUUCGUAAGUCGUGUGUGAAAGGCGCGGGCUCAACCCGCGGACGGCACAUGAUACUGCGGGACUAGAGUAAUGGAGGGGGAGCCGGAAUUCUCGGUGUAGCGGUGAAAUGCGUAGAUA
rnacentral:rRNA from 1 species